rnacentral:pre_miRNA from 1 species
CAUCUACUCCCUCCGUCCGAAAAUACUCGUCGGAGGAAUGGAUGUAUCUAGAUGUAUUUUAGUUCUACAUACAUUCAUUUUUAUGCAUUUCUCCGACGAGUAUUUCCGAACGGAGGGAGUAGGUU